GAUGAACGCUGGCGGCGUGCCUAAUACAUGCAAGUCGAGCGAACAGACGAGGAGCUUGCUCCUCUGACGUUAGCGGCGGACGGGUGAGUAACACGUGGAUAACCUACCUAUAAGACUGGGAUAACUUCGGGAAACCGGAGCUAAUACCGGAUAAUAUAUUGAACCGCAUGGUUCAAUAGUGAAAGACGGUUUUGCUGUCACUUAUAGAUGGAUCCGCGCCGCAUUAGCUAGUUGGUAAGGUAACGGCUUACCAAGGCAACGAUGCGUAGCCGACCUGAGAGGGUGAUCGGCCACACUGGAACUGAGAAACGGUCCAGACUCCUACGGGAGGCAGCAGUAGGGAAUCUUCCGCAAUGGGCGAAAGCCGGACGGAGCAACGCCGCGUGAGUGAUGAAGGUCUUCGGAUCGUAAAACUCUGUUAUUAGGGAAGAACAAAUGUGUAAGUAACUAUGCACGUCUUGACGGUACCUAAUCAGAAAGCCACGGCUAACUACGUG
rnacentral:rRNA from 1 species